GUCCCCAGGGUAAUGGUCCUGCCCAUUGAGACACGCACAGUGGCAGGGCGUCUCUAGGGAUGGGGUACCGGGCCUGCCAUUUCAGACAUGCGUAGUGCACCCCUCCCUAGAGGUUGGCAAAUGGCUGCGGAACCGACAGUUAUCAGGCUUCUUGGGAUCCCCUCGAGAAGCCCCCUCGCGAGUGUCUGAAACCGUCAGUUCACCGCCAGAAAUGAAAACAUCCUGUCUCUAGUCACCUGCCAUUUGCCUUUUCAAAUCCUCUGUUCUCUGGGCUGUCACAAAUCCUCCUCUGCACCCCAGGAGCGCCCCUUGGAUCCCCGGGCCGGCUGCAGGGCCCACGCCUGGGUCGGGUCUCUCACGGGGACGCUCCCGCCACUGCAAUAAAGAGGAGAAAAAGUCCCAGGGGAAGGGCCUGACCCUGCUCUAUUCAGUCAGAAAACAGCCACAGGAAGGGGCUUUGGGAGCUACAUCCACCGCUUCUCUUACCCAACCCAGGCUUCUUCCUAGGCCUCCGGGUCCUAGUGUGAACCUCCCGGCCGUGAUUGAUCCAGUUUUUCAGAUUAAGUAUUCCAAGACUACUCGCUGUUGAAACUGUCAUAGGCACAGCCUCAGCUCCCUGAGGGUGGACGCAUAAGAGCAGAAUCUCCGUGGGGAUUCUUUCUGGAGCAUCAAUAUUACUGCAGGAUUUGGAAGAAACAAAUAUAAAUAAUGUCUAAGGUCAGAGGAAUUAAUCACAGUCACAUUGUUCUGCAACCAUCAUUUGCAUUCAUAGGGAAUUUUAUUCAUUUUGCAAAACUGAAACUCUGUUCCUGUCAAACAACAGCCCCCCU